rnacentral:rRNA from 1 species
GACGAACGCUGGCGGCGUGCCUAAUACAUGCAAGUAGAACGCUGAAGGAGGAGCUUGCUUCUCUGGAUGAGUUGCGAACGGGUGAGUAACGCGUAGGUAACCUGCCUGGUAGCGGGGGAUAACUAUUGGAAACGAUAGCUAAUACCGCAUAAUAGUAGAUGUUGCAUGACAUUGGCUUAAAAGGUGCAAUUGCAUCACUACCAGAUGGACCUGCGUUGUAUUAGCUAGUUGGUGAGGUAACGGCUCACCAAGGCGACGAUACAUAGCCGACCUGAGAGGGUGAUCGGCCACACUGGGACUGAGACACGGCCCAGACGCCUACGGGAGGCAGCAGUAGGGCAUCUUCGGCAAUGGACGGAAGUCUGACCGAGCAACGCCGCGUGAGUGAAGAAGGUUUUCGGAUCGUAAAGCUCUGUUGUAAGAGAAGAACGAGUGUGAGAGUGGAAAGUUCACACUGUGACGGUAGCUUACCAGAAAGGGACGGCUAACUACGUG